rnacentral:rRNA from 1 species
UAAGGAAUAUUGGUCAAUGGACGCAAGUCUGAACCAGCCAUGCCGCGUGGAGGAUGAAGGUCCUCUGGAUUGUAAACCUCUUUUAUCUGGGACGAAACACUUCUUUUCUAAGAGGCCUGACGGUACCAGAUGAAUAAGCACCGGCUAACUCCGUGCCGGCAGCCGCGGUAAUACGGAGGGUGCAAGCGUUAUCCGGAUUCACUGGGUUUAAAGGGUGCGUAGGUGGGUAUGUAAGUCAGUGGUGAAAUCCCCGAGCUUAACUUGGGAACUGCCAUUGAUACUAUAUAUCUUGAAUACCGUAGAGGUAAGCGGAAUAUGUCAUGUAGCGGUGAAAUGCUUAGAUAUGACAUGGAACACCAAUUGCGAAGGCAGCUUACUAUGCGGUGAUUGACACUGAGGCACGAAAGCGUGGGUAGCAAACA